GCCAAACAGGUUGGGGGAGGAAGAGAGCUCCCUAACCCUCACUCAAACUUUAACUCUCAAUAACUUUUGAUCCGGAGCUCUGAUUGACGAACCGUUUGCGACUACACGUUCACCGCGAUGAGCUCUACGAAACCCAUGGAACAAUUUGGUAGGUUCAAGUUAGCUUUCGGAAUUUAUGGGUUCAAGCUAUUGAGCAUAUGGGUGUAGAUUAAGUGGGUAUAUAUGCAUUGGAAUUUAAUUGAGAAUAUCUGGAGGCUUGUUAGUGAUCAAAGCUUAGUUUGUGGCUGUUUUACUUGAGCUUGGAGGGGCUGUAAUUUUGUGUUGAGAGGCUGCCUUGGGUGAAUUAAGUGAUCGACCAAGAUGCAAGUCGAGAGGCUCCUCGCUAAGCGUCUGGAUCCUGGAAAGCGAAGUAGUCCUUGGGUGUAUUUUGGCUUCUGGCUGUAUAUAUGUAUAUAUGUGUUUAGCUUACUCUCCAAGUAACUUAUGUAUGCUGCUCCUCUUAGAGGUUGAGGGAGAGAUAGGAGUUAUUUUGAUAUUAUAGUGUAUUUUGGGAUAUUUUGAGAACACUUAUGUAUGUUUAUAUGUAUAUAUAUACCCUCCGGCCAGCCUUAGCUUCGCAGGCUGAGUCAUGGGCUAGUUAUGCUGCU